GAUGAACGCUGGCGGCGUGCCUAAUACAUGCAAGUCGAGCGAACAGAUGAGGAGCUUGCUCUCCUGACGUUAGCGGCGGACGGGUGAGUAACACGUGGAUAACCUACCUAUAAGACUGGGAUAACUACGUGAAACCGGAUCUAAUACCGGAUAAUAUAUUCAACCGCAUGGUUCAGUAGUGAAAGACGGUUUUGCUGUCACUUAUAGAUGGAUCCGCGCCGCAUUAGCUAGUUGGUAAGGUAACGGCUUACCAAGGCAACGAUGCGUAGCCGACCUGAGAGGGUGAUCGGCCACACUGGAACUGAGACACGGUCCAGACUCCUACGGGAGGCAGCAGUAGGGAAUCUUCGGCAAUGGGCGAAAGCCUGACGGAGCCACACCGCGUGAGUGAUGAAGGUCUUCGGAUCGUAAAGCUCUGUUAUUAGGGAAGAAAAGAUGUAUAAGAAACUAAGCAUGUCUUGACGGUACCUAAACAGAAAGCCCCGGCUAACUACGUG
rnacentral:rRNA from 1 species